rnacentral:rRNA from 1 species
CCCUUAGAUGUUCUGGGCCGCACGCGCGCUACGCUGACUACUUCAACGAGUUGUUUCCUUGAUCGAAAGGUCUGGGUAAUCUUUGAAAGGUAGUCGUGAUGGGGAUAGAUCCUUGCAAUUUUUGAUCUUCAACGAGGAAUUCCUAGUAAACGCAAGUCAUCAGCUUGCAUUGAUUACGUCCCUGCCCUUUGUACACACCGCCCGUCGCACCUACCGAUUGAAUGGUCCGGUGAAUCUUUAGGACUGUGGCUGAGGCCUUGCCUUGUGCGGGUCUGGCCGUGGGAAUUUAGUUAAACCUUACCAUUUAGAGGAAGGUGAANUCGUAGCA